rnacentral:lncRNA from 1 species
AGAUUCAGGCCUGCAAGCCAAGGUCUGGGGAGAGGAACAGAAGGAAGAGAACUGCCCUGGAGAUCUGAGGCCGCCUCGGUGUAAUCCUCUCAGGCCCUUGGAACUAAAAUCCCAAGGCAGGCCUGACACAUCGCUGCAAAAUUCUAGAGUGGAUCGUCCAACCCUAAAAGUGGGACAACCAGGGAGAAAACCAGCUGGAGCAUUUGCUGCAGUUCUCACUCCACCUUCCAGAAUUCUCCAGGGCGACACUCACCUCCAAAAAUCCCACCUCUUCUUUCCAGCGUGGAAGCCGGUGAGUGACGCCUGGCUAGUAAGGGGUUGUUCAGGUGAAGAGUUUAGAAAGGACCCCCCAAAAGAGACCCCCUCUUAGGGCAAGCCUUCUUCCAGCGUCUGUCAAGAGUAGUAUGUACCUCCCAGCUCACAGUUGGUUUGUGGUCUUCGACAAAUUAAUAUUACUGUUUAUUACCAGGCAUACCCCAAUAAAAUAAAGAGGCAACCAGGCGAUACGGGCUAUCUCACCAGCCGCUGCACCUAUAGGACUUGGAGACGUCACGAGUCACGCAACCGAACCGCGAGCUGUCACGCUCAACUGGGGGGCAGCGGCGGGAGGAGGAGCACUCAGCAUACGUGAAUUGAGGCGCCUCUCUAGCUGGUUAAGUUUGGGACGCGAUAACUCAGUGUCCGCCAGCGGACUUGCAUAUAAGUAAUCACUGGGUUAUCGCGGAGCGGGGGAAGAAACAGAGACUUUAGGGAGAAGGGAGAGCCCUGCGCAGUGUUUCUUGCAAAGAAAAAGUCCAUUCUGCGAAUCCUCCUCUAGCUAGGUCGGGGAUGCAACCCGUCCCAGCGUGGCCUGGCGGGGGCGGGGUGCGAGUGGGUGGUGAGGUGGGGAUGAAGAAGGGUAAUUUCUGCAGAGAAAAAUCAGUACCAGGUCCUGCAGAGGGACGAGGCGCUCUAUUUUGUUUUGCAAUAACGAUUAUUCUUGUUACUGGUCUCAUCUAUGGGCAUAACGUCUAAGCAGCCCCGCGGCGGAUGCGCACAAGGUUUAGCGCGCAGCUGGAAACGCUCUAAGUACUGUUGCGAAACGUACUGCAUAGACGCCCCCCGCGACGCCGAGAGGAGAGCUAGGCCUACUCUGCACCGAGCCUGCGAGCUCCCGACCUUCCGGAAGGCUUGGGCCACGAGCACGGAGCACCGAAGCAGGGUUUCUGGCCUUUGGGGGCAGCCCUGGCCGAAAGGUCCAGAAGCGAGGACCCCCAAACGCCGCGAGGACCCCCAAACGCCUCGAUCCCCCGGCGCAAUCACACCCAGAAAGCUCUAGGGGUGAAAUUGACAGAGGCCGGCCCUGGGGGUGCAACUGACAGUGGUUCCUGGUGGAAAAGUUCCGGGCAAUUGUUUCCGCCAGGGCCCUGUUUUCCUGGUCGCCAUGGCAACCCUGGAGUCCCCACGAACGCCCUCCACAAUCGGGCGCUUGGAGGACAAUCGCCGCGCACUUUUGCCGCGCUCCUUGAGGCCUGCAAGGCGCUUCCGCCCUCCGCUCUGGGUUUUCCGGAGCCUCCCUAGUGAGUUCAGCACCGCAGGGAUUGAAAAACUCUCCUCCUUUUUUAAACAGGGGAGAAAAUCGCGAUUUAGGAGAAUCACUGCCAGGUAGGUUUGGGUCUCCAGCAAAAGCUCACGCUUUGAGUUGAAAGCGAUGCCCUCAGAGACGCGCGCGCGGGCAGCCGGUAGAAUACUUUUCACCCAAACCCUGAUCGCGAACGUCUCAGCCAGGGACCCGGAACUCACGGAGUCUCUUCACUUAAGCCGAUCACCCCCACGGGUACCCGAGGUUCCCCGCGUGGGUCUGGGCAACCUCGUCGCCUGCCUGGAAGAACGUCUCCUAAAUGGGAGGAGGAAAGUCGGAAACUAAAAUUCAUGUCUGCAGGGUCUUACUGAAAAAAAACAAUAAAUUAUACUCCUUUCCUGCAAGGGAGAAAGUUGUUCAAGUGUGGAUGUACUUAUAAAGAGCAUUAAAUAAUAUCGGAGGGAGCACUGCUUUUUCCUUGGACCUGUGGAGGGAAAUGCCCCUCUUUUUUUGUGGGGUGGACAGCGGACGGCACAGAACGGCUUUUCUGUGUGCAUUUGGGAGGCAGCAGCUCUCAGAAAGAACCAGGGUGCGCAUCAGCUUGGAUGCUGGGUUUGUAGGGAUGCUGGGAGAGAGAGUUGGCCUCUGAACGAGGGAGCGAGUCUUCCUCUGCCUCUGAUCCUGAUCCUAGUUUCUCUCUCGCCUGUGGACCUCAUUCAUCUCCCAGCUGGUCAAGACAAAACUCUCCCUCUGCUUCUGAUGGGUCACCCAAGGUCCCCAAAGCGCUGGACUGUCUUGUAGCAUCUCUAGCCAUUUUUUUUUCCCCAACUGAAUCUGAAAGCCUACAGCCUAUAGGGGUUCCCUUAGCACACCCAAGCCCCUGUCUUCUUUCCUUCCCAGCAUUUUGCUUCCAUAUUUUCAGAAGAGUCCUGCUUGUGUCCACAGGGGCACAGGACAGAGGGUCAGAGAGCCAUUCGCACUUGAGGUGCCCCUCGGAGUCAACAUUUAUAGCAAGCCGGGAGUGGUUGUAACACGAUUUUGCUCAGCUCAGCUAGCUCCAAAUAUCUCCGUGAGAAGGUGGCUCCAGGCCAGUCCUACCCUGGUGGGACUUGAACCCAGACACUCUGAUUCCAGAAGCCAGGAGCUAUUCCUUUUACAGGACCGGGAAAGGGAAUGAAUGGGAAAAGGUCUCUUGGAAUAGGGGAGGGGGAUACAAAGGGUACUUUUUUAAGCACUGAAAGUGUAGGCUGAAGCUGAAUCCUGAAUCGUGGAUAAAGGCUUAGAUCUCUUUUCAAGUCACUCACUCUCUCCUCUCUCCACCCUCACCCAGGAGGCAGAGGGACCCAGAAAGGGCCUGUGGGCUUUACAGCCACAGAUCCAGAGCCCUUCGAGGGACAGGAGGGAGGAUGGGGAGAGGCUGACCUCUCCUCUCCAAACCUCAGCGCUUCUCUUCCCAAACCCUGGCCCAUAUUCAUC